UUAUACCUAUUACUGUCAAACGGUAGAUGUCUCCUUAUAACACUGACAAGUCUCAUAUACCAUACCACAUAGAAACAGUAGAAGUCUCCUAAUAAAACCUAACAAGUCUCAUAUACCGUACCACAAAGAACAGUAGAUGUGUCCUUAUAGACAAUAACUAGUCUCAUAUACCAUACCACAUUGAACAGUAGAUGUCUCAUUAUAGACAAUAACUAGUCUCAUGUAUCAUACCACAUUUAUCUAUACUGAGAGUAGAAAAGGAAAUGUUGAAUGGAACCCUUAUCCUGCCAUACUGGAUACUUGAUAUCAUACGCAAAACUUUAUAAUAACUAUUCUAAUUUUAUUAACAAACUAAUAUACUAAGACACCAUUGUAUACACAGUAUACUAGUAUCAUAUUCACAAUCAAUUCUAAAUCUAUUAUACUGAAUACAUAUGAAAAUAAUAAUAAAUGUAUCAUUUGGCUUUCUAGGGGGCUACUCAUUAAAACUUACAAUAAUACUAAUUAAAAUAACCAAAUCAAAAACACUACCUACUCAACACAAUUUAAAAUUAAUUAAAAAAUAAAUUGCCUAUAUUAUGCAAUUUUAAGAACCUGCAGUAGAGCCCUGACAGGUGAAAAAUUUAUUUUAAUACCUGACUGGUAGAACCCAGACAGGUAUAAAUUUGAAAAAUGAGAAUACCUGCAGUAGAUCCCAACAGAUACUUUUAGAACCUGAGUGGUAGAGCCCAGACAAGUAUGAAUUUUGAAAACUGAGAAUUCCUGUGGUAGAUCCCAACAGGUACUUUUAGAACCUGAGUGGUAGAGCCCAGACAAGUAUGAAUUUUGAAAACUGAGAAUUCCUGUGGUAGAUCCCAACAGGUACUUUUAGAACCUGAGUGGUAGAGCCCAGACAAGUAUGAAUUUUGAAAACUGAGAAUUCCUGCGGUAGAUCCCAACAGGUACUUUUAGAACCUGAGUGGUAGAGCCCAGACAAGUAUGAAUUUUGAAAACUGAGAAUUCCUGUGGUAGAUCCCAACAGGUACUUUUAGAACCUGAGUGGUAGAGCCCAGACAAGUAUGAAUUUUGAAAACUGAGAAUUCC